CUUGGAAAACCUGCUCUUUAGUGCUGAAUUGGAGCAAACAUCCAUCUGUGAAAAACCCAGUUGAUGUCUGCUCCAAUUCAGCACUAAAGAGCAGGUUUUCCUGG